AAAUGGUUUGGGUAAUGUAUACUCAAUAUGUGAAAUCCGAAUCCGAACCUGUCACAGGUAUCAUUUUUCAAACUCAAAUCCGAUUAUAUACUAUCUAAAUCCUUUCAAUUAGAAUUUGGUCAAGUCGAGUACCUGCAAAAUCCGAUUCGUUGCCAUCCCUAAUGUCAAAUAUAAAUAGAAGAGAGAAAGAGAGAAAAAGACAGAGAAAGGAAACAUCGGAAGCGACACCAUAGCUCCAACGACGAGCUGACUUCUGACAAGGAUGAGAAAGAGG
rnacentral:misc_RNA from 1 species